GGGUCAGUAGGUUGGUCGUGCCACCGGUACGUACUGGUCUCACUGAUUCCUCCUUCCUGAAGAACCGUAAUGCCAUUAAUUUGGUGUUGCGGGGAAACAGGACUGUUACUUUGAAAAAAUUAGAGUGUUUAGAGCAAGCUGACGCUUGAAUACAUUAGCAUGGAAUAAUGGAAUAGGACGAUCGAUCCUAUUUUGUUGGUUUCUAGGAUUGACGUA
rnacentral:rRNA from 1 species